rnacentral:rRNA from 1 species
GUAGGUGGCAAGCGUUGUCCGGAAUUAUUGGGCGUAAAGCGCGCGCAGGCGGUUCUUUAAGUCUGAUGUGAAAGCCCACGGGCUCAACCGUGGAGGGUCAUUGGAAACUGGAGAACUUGAGUACAGAAGAGGAAAGCGGAAUUCCACGUGUAGCGGUGAAAUGCGUAGAGAUGUGGAGGAACACCAGUGGCGAAGGCGGCUUUCUGGUCUGUAACUGACGCUGAGGCGCGAAAGCGUGGGGAGCAAACAGGAUUAGAUACACUGGUAGUCCACGCCGUAAACGAUGAGUGCUAAGUGUUAGGGGGUUUCCGCCCCUUAGUGCUGCAGCUAACGCAUUAAGCACUCCGCCUGGGGAGUACGGCCGCAAGGCUG